rnacentral:rRNA from 1 species
AUGCGUGCCAGCAGCGUCCUGGUUGGGAAUGCACUUCAUUGGUUGCUUAUUGGGGAUGGAAUUCUCAAAUUUGAUUUCGAGAUGCAGCGCUUAGUGGUGAUCGAGAGACCAUCAGUAGUCUCGUGUAUCCGCUUUCAGAUAUUGCGGACACAUGAAAGUAGGCUUGGCUUUGCCAUGUGGACAGAAGUGGGCAUGGAAAUAUGGGAGAGAAAGAGCAAUUCAGAUGGUGUCCUCAGAUGGGCGCUUCAGCAGAUCAUCCAACUUGACAAGCUCCUUCCACUAGGACCAUCGAGAUGUAGAGGUUAUAUAGCGGGGUUUGAUGAGGACACCAAUGUGAUAUUUCUGUCAAUGUAUACUGGCCGUUCCUUCAUGAUCCAACUCGAGUCGAUGCAACUCAGAAGUAUUUCUGGAACACAUCACGACCACUUUUAUCCCUACACAAAUUUCUUUACUGCAGGCAGAGGGAUUGGUGAUGGAAAUGAUGGGGUUAAAAUUUUGUACAAUACAUGA